ensembl:miRNA
GGGGCGGGAGCGGCCGGGGUCUCCGAGUGGCUGGUGCUGCGGGACGGCUGCAUGCGCUGCGA